rnacentral:lncRNA from 1 species
CAGCCCUAUAGGAGACACCUCCAGAGAAAGUAACAACUCUCAGUUGAUUAGCUGAGGUAUGUAUGUCAUUUAUGGCAAUACCUGUCUCCAUCCCCUCCGUCUUCUUCUAGGAGACCAAUUUUGUAAAUUGCUACUUUUCUAACAACAGUGGCACAGGUGGCCCAGCAUUCUCCCUUUUCUCAGAGCUGGUUUUCCAUCCUGGAAAGAGCCAGAAUUAGCUUCUGUUACUUACAACUGUGAGCCCUGACUGAAAACAUAUUUCUUCCUUUGAAGAAUUGUUACCUGUAACAGGCUAAGAAUAUUAAGAAUAAACAGAUGCUUUUACAGCUCGCAUUGGUGGGAAGAUCUGGCACAAAUGAAGUAUCUAUAAGGAGCAGCAGAGUCAAGGUGGUGAUCCUGUGGAAGAAUAACUGAAACCUGAUAUACUUGACAGCAGAAAAUAUAAAGCAAAUCGAAAAGGAGAGAGUGUGGAGAUAAAUAAGGAAAUGAAAGAACUGAUGAAGUCACUUGGAUUAAAAAA